GGCCGCGUGGCAUAGUGGUUAGUGCUGCUGACUGACUUGAACUAGAAAUGGAAUCAUGUCAGCUGGCUGUGGCUCGAGUCCGGCCGCGCCCG